UGGGGAAUUGUUCACAAUGGGCGCAAGCCUGAUGACGCAACGCCGCGUGGGGGAUGAAGGUCUUCGGAUCGUAAACCCCUGUCGAAUGGGACGAAAGACUCGCGAGUGAAUACUUCGCGAGAGUGACGGUACCGUUAAAGGAAGCCACGGCUAACUCUGUGCCAGCAGCCGCGGUAAUACGUAGGGACCAAGCGUUGUUCGGAUUUACUGGGCGUAAAGGGCGCGUAGGCGGUGUGUCAAGUCAGUUGUGAAAUCUCCGAGCUUAACUCGGAACGGUCAACUGAUACUGUCACACUAGAGUACAGAAGGGGCAAUCGGAAUUCUUGGUGUAGCGGUGAAAUGCGUAGAUAUCAAGAGGAACACCUGAGGCGAAGGCGGGUUGCUGGGCUGAUACUGACGCUGAGGCGCGAAAGCUAGGGUAGCAAACGGGAUUAGAUACCCCGGUAGUCCCUGAGCGGGCUGGCAAGGCGCAU
rnacentral:rRNA from 1 species